UGGGGAAUAUUGCACAAUGGGCGCAAGCCUGAUGCAGCCAUGCCGCGUGUAUGAAGAAGGCCUUCGGGUUGUAAAGUACUUUCAGCGGGGAGGAAGGGAGUAAAGUUAAUACCUUUGCUCAUUGACGUUACCCGCAGAAGAAGCACCGGCUAACUCCGUGCCAGCAGCCGCGGUAAUACGGAGGGUGCAAGCGUUAAUCGGAAUUACUGGGCGUAAAGCGCACGCAGGCGGUUUGUUAAGUCAGAUGUGAAAUCCCCGGGCUCAACCUGGGAACUGCAUCUGAUACUGGCAUGCUUGAGUCUCGUAGAGGGGGGUAGAAUUCCAGGGGUAGCGGUGAAAUGCGUAGAGAUCUGGAGGAAUACCGGUGGCGAAGGCGGCCCCCUGGACGAAGACUGACGCUCAGGUGCGAAAGCGUGGGGAGCAAACAGG
rnacentral:rRNA from 1 species